UACGGAGGGCGCAAGCGUUGUUCGGAAUCACUGGGCGUAAAGCGCGUGUAGGCGGCUUGAUAAGUCGGGGGUGAAAGCCCAGGGCUCAACCCUGGAACUGCAUUCAAUACUGUCUCGCUCGAGUUCGGGAGAGGGGAGUGGAAUUCCCGGUGUAGAGGUGAAAUUCGUAGAUAUUAGGAAGAACACCAGUGGCGAAGGCGGCUCACUGGCCCGAUACUGACGCUGAGGUGCGAAAGCGUGGGGAGCAAACAGG
rnacentral:rRNA from 1 species